rnacentral:lncRNA from 1 species
CACCCCAGCAGCAUAUGGAAGUUCCAGGCUAGGAUCUGAAUCAAGCCACAGCUGCAACCAAGGCCACAGCUGUGGCAACCCUGCAUCCUUAACCCACUGCACCAAGCUGAGGGCCGAAGUGGCACCACACGGAGACAAGCUGGAUCAUUAGUCCACUGUGCCACAGCAGGAACUCCUCUCACUGCUCUUUAAGAUGACAAAAUUUAUUCAAAAAAGUUAAACUAGAUGCUCAUAAAUUUGCUCACUACCUAAAAAUUCACUUUGCACACACUUACGACUUGUAGUCCACAACGCUUGCUAAUUUAGGUUAUCUCCCCCUUCGUAACAGAAAGAACAAAAUGUGGCAGACCUUUUCACAGCCAUGACUCACCUGUAAUUUCAAAUGAUACACUGUAAAUGAUUUCAAUUUAAAUACAAUUCAUUUUUAUUGUCCAAAGAUUCAGGGAUGGGAAGAAAAGUCCUAUUCUACAGUUUCUGAAUACAUUCCUAAUCCCUUAAAUUCAGCUAGCAAGGUUCUGCAUGUAACUAACAAGAAAAUACUACUCAAAGUACAAAGAGAAGAAAUCACGCAGCAGUAUAAACCUCUCUAAAUGCAGAAUAGCUACAAUGGGGAUGAGCGCCAGAGGGUAAAAGUGGUAUUUUUCCUGGUGGGAAGAUCUUCUUAGCGGUGCCCCGUAAAGACACCAAUCCUUUCCACCUAAAUGAUAGAUUUUGCUUAAAAAAAAAAAAAAUCAUAACUCUAGACAGCAGAGCAAAAAGUCCCAUCACAGACACUGACUGGAAGUAAAGGCAUCACGAGGAGAUGAUCUGAAGGGAAAGUUCCUUCACCAUCAGCUCCUUCCUAGCAGGUUUACGCUGCUCGAAACCAGACUUUUAUGGGCGCAUUACCGGUGUUUUUCCACAGCCACAAUGGCCCACGGGGAACACUUGUUUGACACUAUCUUCCAGCGAAACAGGUCUAGGCAUCUAUGUUGUAAAGAACUUUGAGGACUCGACUGAUUCCUUUUUAACAUUAAACCAGACAAAGAAAUUGUUGCUUUGGAAGAAUCCUGGCUUUUCCUGAAGAUUCUCUAUUGGCCUACUUUUCUCUGAAUGUGGGACAACCUUGAUUCAAAAGGAAAAUUUUUUAAUUCUGAAUUUCCACAAAAGGAAAUUAUCACUUGCAUAUUUAUUUCUUAAAGCGAUAAAACCCACUCAGUUGAUAACCCAAAACAGUGGCUGCUCAAGCCCUCUCCCUGCCCAAUUCUUAUCAACGGAGAUUUCAAGGAAUUUUAUAUAUACAUAUACACCAUUAUAUAAAGCUUUCUACAGAGGGAUCUUGUCAGAGUGGGUAUGUGUGAAUACAUAUAUUAAGACAUCUUUGCAGAGACGGUUCUGCACUGGUCUCAUAGCUCUGCGUGCCCUGAAAGCAGAAGUUCGACUCUUUGCUCCAGGUGCUUGCAAAACAGUGACCUUGGAGGACAGAGCCAGAGCCUCCCUCUAAAGCAAACAUUUGUGCUCCCUAAACUCAGGGCUGCUCUCUGUGUGCAGUGUCAUCCAGCCCACUUCAGGUCACCGAUGGUAGGUGGAGCUCAGGAAACUGACGCAAAAAUGCUGAUACUCAUGUCUUCUUACUGGCGUCCAUGCAACUAAAACAGGCUAAUUCACUGAAUAACUGUGUGGUGGGAGUUCCCACUAUGGCACAGUGGGUUAAGGAUCCAGGAUUGUCUCUGCAGUGGCUCGGGUCCUUGCUGAGGCAUGGGUUCGAUCCCCAGCCAGGGCAGCGGUUAAGGAUCCAGCACUGCAGCUGCACCACCGACUGCAGCUGCAGCUCGGAUUCGAUCCCUGGCCCGGGCACUUGGAUAUGCUGAGGGUACAGCCAAAACCAAAAAGUCAGGUGGAAAAAAUCCGAGCUCUCCCACGUUUCACUGUUUACUUGGGUUUUGAGAACGUAAGUGGUCAUCCAAUCCCAGGUCCUUUGUGAGCAGCGGAAAGGAUACCUUCCUGGCAUCCCUCUGCGAUGUAAUCAUUAACUAGACUACUAAGCUACCUGUUUUCUGGAUACUGGCUUCCAAAACCUUUUGCAUGUUUCUAGCCACGGGGCCUAUGUCUGAUGCUUAAAGAAGCCCUUGAUGUGACAGGCUCUCCAGCCAGUGGUUUUCAAAGAGCAGUCAAUGUAUGCAUUGUGUGAAAGACCCAGCCAAUACCUACGGCUCACCCAGUGAGACCACCGCUCCAGGAGCCGGGCCUCGUGAACAGUAAGAGGGCCCACCAUUAGCACCCGGCCCCCGUAACACCUUCCAAAUACUGAGGCAGUGCAGUUUGGUACAAAGAGGUCUCGUCCUAGCUCUGCAAGCCUGAAACGAAUGAGUCACCGCCGCCACCCCAUCUCGUUGCACGCUUCACCUGCCCUGCCGGCACACGAGGACCUUACUGGACAGUCAGAAGAUCCCUUCAGCUCUAAAAUCCUUCCCCUCUCAUGCUGCCGGUUACGCAAACUGCUUCGGCUCCAUGAAGACAUUCAUCUACCACGGCAGCCGCAGCCACAGCAAAUCAGCUGGACAUUCCUCCCAGACACGUGCCAUGCUAUCUCUGGGUUAGAAAACAAUGAAAACAAAUUCAGGUGAAUCAGCGUCUAAAGUCGAGGAGCCAAGAGGCGGGUAGGUAGCUGCAGUAUUAUUAUUCAAACCAGAUGCUGUUCGGCCCAGAGCUAAGCUGUCAAACAGCUCCGGCCCAGACAGAGUAAUGGGUUCGCCCCGAGCACAGCACCGGGGCGAGCUUCUGUCCCAGAGACGCUCUAGGUGUCGUUCAGAGCCUCGGAUACUAAGAAGGUGUUUUGUUAUCCAAAUGGAGUCUUCCUUUCGGGGCCAUCGGUUCAUGUCCCCGUAACAGUGCGUUUCUACUCCUUUGGGCCGUCAGUUCUGUCCCCGUAGCACUGUGUUUCUACUUGAAGUUCUUC